rnacentral:rRNA from 1 species
UGAGGAAUCUUGCGCAAUGGGGGAAACCCUGACGCAGCAACGCCGCGUGAGUGAGGAAGGUCUUCGGAUCGUAAAGCUCUGUCAGUUGGGAAGAAUAACCCGGAAGUGAAUACCUUUCGGGCUUGACGGUACCAACAGAGGAAGCACCGGCUAACUCCGUGCCAGCAGCCGCGGUAAUACGGGGGGUGCAAGCGUUGUUCGGAAUUAUUGGGCGUAAAGAGCGUGUAGGCUGUCGGAUGUGUCAGAUGUGAAAGCCCUGGGCUUAACCCAGGAAGUGCAUUUGAAACUGUCCGACUGGAGUAGGGGAGAGGGAAGUGGAAUUCCUGGUGUAGAGGUGAAAUUCGUAGAUAUCAGGAGGAACACCGGUGGCGAAGGCGACUUCCUGGCCCUAUACUGACGC